UAUCGCAAUAUGUUCCCGUUAUUUUUACAAGUUUUAAAUUUUGCUUUAAUUCGUCUUAAAUUUGUUUUUGGGUAAUGACAUGAGGUUGAGAUCUAAUUUUAUUGUUUUUCAUAUUAAUCAAUUGCUCUGUACCAUCAAUUGAACAGCCCUUUCUUGUCCACUGAUUUGUAAUCCUAGUUUAUUUCUAAAGUCGUAAUAUAUGGGGGCGCCCUGGCCGGCUCAGUUGAUGGAACAUGUGGCUCUUGAUCUCGGGGUUCUGAGUUCAAGCCCCAUGUUGGGUGUAGAGAUUAUUUAAAAAUAAACCAAAAAAUCUGAAAAAAUGAAGUUGCAACAUAUGGGUGACUUUCUUUCUGGGAUCUCCUUUCUUUCAUUGAUCUAUAUGGAAGACUGUUUGCAAAGUAGGCACCAUUUAAUGUAAAGGAGGCCAGAAGGGAGAAGGGUAGGGACAGCUGGUGAGUUAACCAAAAGCAUUUGUCCAUGGUUUUGCUCCUUAAUCCCCUAUGGUGGUAAAUCUGAUCAAUAGGUUUUUCUAACACGGAACGUUUUUUCUUCAUUGUUUUUUGUGUGUUUAAAUACCUUGCUGGAAUCCAUUUGCUAAUGUUGGGAUUUUUGCUUUGUUUGUUCAAAACCGCCAUUGCCAGGAAUUUUUCCUUUUCGCUAUUAUUUUCAUCUCUUUGCUAUUGAGUUUACCAGGUAAGUUUUUUUUAUCUUGCCUUAUGAUUUAGGUCUUGCAGUCGCCCGCCAGCCGUGGUCUCAGUUUCAGCUGGACAUUCUAGAUCUGAGUAGGCCACAUCUGGCACCAGGUCACUGGGAAGGGUGCAGGACGCACACCGCCCCUGUGGCAGGCCAUCUCUCCGUGGUGGUGGUCUCUGUAGCAGGUGACGCAGCGGUCCACUGGCUAUUCUCAGAUCACCCAAGUGACUUCUCAGGCGUCCAGCAGGAGUUGGUUCGAGUACUGACUCAGCAUCUUGAAAUGCUCUCGACAAGGACCUGAGUGUUCCCCUUCUCCGAGCUGACCUUCUCGGGGCAUAAAUCAUCCCACCCCUCAUGGUCCCAAGGUGUCAAUGCCAGAAUGCAAAAGGAGAUUUAACGCUGGCCACACUGUUGAGUGCCUGUAGGAGCCAGGUGGGAGCUGGGUGACAGGAGGGCUUCCAGAUGGAAAGAACACCAAGUCCCUGCCCUCUGGGAAUUCAGCACCCGAAGGGGAGCAGACAAUGUUCAGGUGAAAGCAGGUGUUCCAAACCAUGCUGCUUGGCCUCCAGACAACGUGUCCUUCCACUUCUGCUGACACGUCAGUGGUACAAAGGCUUGGGUGUGAUUUUCGGAACAUGUGAAACAUCAUCUUUACCAGAGUGAAAACUUUUCAUACUUAAAAAAAAAAAAAAAUCCGUGAGACAGUCUGCCUCUCUACAGCUCUGAGGCCAUUGGAAUCCUAUGAAAAAGGCCACUGAUCUUUGUGUCCCCAUGCCUUUGAGGAAGGAAGAUUUUUUUCCUUUCUGAAGCAAAUUAAAUAUUCCAUCAGUGAAACAUAAUUUAAUAAACCCAUGAAACUGAAGCUAUGGCUCUCAUUAAAAUAAAAGCCACUCAUUUACCUUGUCA